ACAAAAAAAAAAAGCAAUCUUAUCCUAACACAAAAAAUUAGCUACCACACCAUUACUUCAACGAUCUUAUCUUUAAAGAAAACAUCGACACUUUCUAGCAAAAAUGAAUAGAAGAACAUCAACAAGUAGAUAAGUAGCCUUAUUUCAUUUUAAAACACACACUCAACAGCCUUAUCUCAUUUUCAAAACACAUUGUGCAACUUUUUUUAAAAAUAAAUCUGAUAACCCCAUCCUUAAACCAUAUUACAACCUAGGUUAUCCUUAAACACUAAGCAGUUACUAGAGUAUCUUGAGCAGAUUUUUUGGCAAACCAAGAACGGAGAGGAGGAGGAUCCAUUAACCAAGACAAUAUAGAAGGUUCAUCUCUUUCUUAGACCCAUCUCAACUCAGUGUUACAUUUUUUCAUUUCUUGUUUAAACUCAUUGUUAUAUACAUGCCAUAUUUCAUAUCUUGAUACAUUAACACUAUCAUUUUCAUUUUAUAAUUUCAUGAACAUUAAUCCUAUGGCAUAAACAAAAAAAAAUCUUAUCCUAACAUAAAAACUCAGUAGAUACCACACCAUUACUUCAACGCUCUUAUCUUUGAACAAAAUAUAUGCACUUUCUCGCAAAAAUGAAUAGAAGAACAUCAACAACCAGAUAAGUAGCCUUAUCUCAUUUUAAAACACACUCAGCAGUUUUUAACUCACUGUUCUGUUUUUUUCCAUUGUUAAAAGUCAUUUUUAUAUAUACAUAUUUCAUAUUACGUUACUUUGACAUAACCAUUACCAUUUUCAUUCUAUUACUCCAUGUUCAUUAAUCCUAUGGUAUCAACUAAAACAUAAGUCAAAAGGAAUGGGUCUUCUUCUCCUUUAUCUUCUUCCAGCGCCUUCGUUUUCUAGUUCCUUUGUUUUUUAAAACUUCUUUUUCUUUUGUUUAGUUAUUUGUUUCAUGUAUGUUUAUUUAAAAAACUACCUAUGCAUCAAUCCAUUAUUUCGGCUUUACUGUUUAGCCGGCAUAUAUAUAUAUAUUGUUUGAAUUUUAGUGUUUAGUUACUGUUAGUUCUUAUUUUAUUUUGUUAUGUCUUAUUCAUUGUAGUGUUUGUUAUUUGUAUUGUAUAUGGGUUUUACAUGGGUAUAUUAUGCCGUCUAAAAAAGAACUUAAGAGGCUUAUGUUUCUUUUUCUUAGAGUUGCAGGAUUAACUUUAUUUAAAAUCAAAACUCUUAAAAAACUUUAGGGUCCGAGUAAGUGAUAUCCAACCUGAGUCUUAUCUUCCUAUUCUAUUUGAGUUGAAUAGCGGUGUGCGAUCUUGAACUGCCUAUUCUCUCUCUUAAAUAUGGAUAAGGUGGUGUAGUCCAGAGUUAGACCUUCUUACUUACCAAAAAACAAAUACCGAAUUCAUAAGCUUUUGAGUAUACUUAGUUUUAUGCGAUAAAUGCGGGUACCGUUUGAUAAUGGGCGGGCAAGACGUAAUACCUUCCCCGAUCCGUAACCGACUCCCGAGUCUAAAGAUCUAGUUCAAAGGCCAAGUAUUUCCGUUAUUUGGGCAUCGAAAGGGUUUUUCACGUUUUGACCGUAAAAAACAUGGUGGUGACUCCAAAUUAGUUGCGUGACUAGUGUUCGGCCGAAAAUCGGGGUGCGAAAAUCAUGACUCUUUAUUUUUAAACUCAACAUAUUUAUUUAUUUUUACUCACUUUUUAUAUUGCCUUAUGUUCUUGUUUAAAGAUAUUAAUGUAGGAUCUCCCUUGAUUGAAAUGAACUUUAAAAAACACUAAUUGACAUAUUUGUGAUAAUAAUCUACAGAGAAAUUUCCAUGUCAUUCAUACAUUACAAGCAUAGAUAAUAUAAUGCUUAAGAACCAGGUACAAACUUAGUGGCAUAGACCCAAGCAUUGUUAGCAACAGGGUUGUCAAGGUGAUCCAAGAGAUUCUCAAGAG
rnacentral:lncRNA from 1 species